rnacentral:rRNA from 1 species
UACGUAGGUGGCAAGCGUUGUCCGGAAUUAUUGGGCGUAAAGCGCGCGCAGGUGGUUUCUUAAGUCUGAUGUGAAAGCCCACGGCUCAACCGUGGAGGGUCAUUGGAAACUGGGGAACUUGAGUGCAGAAGAGGAAAGUGGAAUUCCAAGUGUAGCGGUGAAAUGCGUAGAGAUCCGGAGGAACACCAGUGGCGAAGGCGACACGCUGGGCCAUACCUGACGCUAAAGCGCGACAGCAUGGGGAGCAAACGGG